rnacentral:rRNA from 1 species
ACGCUGGCGGCAGGCCUAACACAUGCAAGUCGAGCGGCAGCACGGGUACUUGUACCUGGUGGCGAGCGGCGGACGGGUGAGUAAUGCCUAGGAAUCUGCCUGGUAGUGGGGGAUAACGCUCGGAAACGGACGCUAAUACCGCAUACGUCCUACGGGAGAAAGCAGGGGACCUUCGGGCCUUGCGCUAUCAGAUGAGCCUAGGUCGGAUUAGCUAGUUGGUGGGGUAAUGGCUCACCAAGGCGACGAUCCGUAACUGGUCUGAGAGGAUGAUCAGUCACACUGGAACUGAGACACGGUCCAGACUCCUACGGGAGGCAGCAGUGGGGAAUAUUGGACAAUGGGCGAAAGCCUGAUCCAGCCAUGCCGCGUGUGUGAAGAAGGUCUUCGGAUUGUAAAGCACUUUAAGUUGGGAGGAAGGGUUGUAGAUUAAUACUCUGCAAUUUUGACGUUACCGACAGAAUAAGCACCGGCUAACUCUGUGCCAGCAGCCGCGGUAAUACAGAGGGUGCAAGCGUUAAUCGGAAUUACUGGGCGUAAAGCGCGCGUAGGUGGUUUGUUAAGUUGGAUGUGAAAUCCCCGGGCUCAACCUGGGAACUGCAUUCAAAACUGACUGACUAGAGUGUGGUAGAGGGUGGUGGAAUUUCCUGUGUAGCGGUGAAAUGCGUAGAUAUAGGAAGGAACACCAGUGGCGAAGGCGACCACCUGGACCAACACUGACACUGAGGUGCGAAAGCGUGGGGAGCAAAC